AUUGAACGCUGGCGGCAGGCCUAACACAUGCAAGUCGAGCGGAUGAAGGGAGCUUGCUCCUGGAUUCAGCGGCGGACGGGUGAGUAAUGCCUAGGAAUCUGCCUGGUAGUGGGGGAUAACGUCCGGAAACGGGCGCUAAUACCGCAUACGUCCUGAGGGAGAAAGUGGGGGAUCUUCGGACCUCACGCUAUCAGAUGAGCCUAGGUCGGAUUAGCUAGUUGGUGGGGUAAAGGCCUUCCAAGGCGACGAUCCGUAACUGGUCUGAGAGGAUGAUCAGUCACACUGGAACUGAGACACGGUCCAGACUCCUACGGGAGGCAGCAGUGGGGAAUAUUGGACAAUGGGCGAAAGCCUAAUCCAGCCAUGCCGCGUGUGUGAAGAAGGUCUUCGGAUUGUAAAGCACUUUAAGUUGGGAGGAAGGGCAGUAAGUUAAUACCUUGCUGUUUUGACGUUACCAACAGAAUAAGCACCGGCUAACUUCGUG
rnacentral:rRNA from 1 species